UGUUGUUUUACCCACAUCCGAUUGAAAAAUUUGGAUUCCGUUGCUACGCCCCACAUCUAGCAAGCCAACAUGCGCUCGGUCCCCGUCCACGCCUACUUCGUGGUCGUGGUCGUGGUGCUCGCGCAUGUGGUGGUUUUGCACAUUCGAGCCAAAUUUUUUAUUUUCCUACACCGUCCGUCAACUCACAAACCAUCAUUUGCCUUAUCAUGCCCACAUCCUUCAAUUUUUUUUUUUGUCCUGGCGCAGGCCUAAAAUCUGGCCCACGCCAGGAGCACACAUACCCUCCCCUAUAUAUGUCUGAAGUGUUUUUUCCAGUUUUGUAGAAAGAGAGCCCUUUUUUGGCUAUAGGAGGAAAACCACUUUUGAGGGACCUAGACUUCGAAUUGUUUCAUGAAAUUUUUCACGAAUGUUCAUCAACACAAUACUAAUAUCCAUAAAAAAAAUUGGAAUUUUUUGACAAACGGUGAUUUUUUUAAAAAUUAUAUAAGGGGCACAUUUUCGAGUUGAGGUACCUAGACUUGGAAUUUUUUCUUGAAAUUUUAUAGGGACGUGGUCAAUAAUUAAAUGACACUUCCCACAAAAAACUAGAAUUUUCUAGAAAGGGAUUAUUUAAUUAUAAUUUUUUAAAGUGCAGGAAAUAUUAAAAAUAUUAUUAAAAAAUAUUUAAAAAAUUAAAAAUUUAAUUUUGACUAAAUUUAUCAUGGGACUUGCAUCAUAAAACACAUAACAUUGACAUCAAAAAUUUCAGUGAAAACAAAAUUUGGAUUGCGUUACUAAGUGACUCGUGACUAGGGGCUCGUAAAUCGCGGCUCGUGACUGGUGACUGGUGACUGGGGGAUGGUGACUGGGGGCUGGUGAAUCGCGACUCAGGACUGGGGACUGGUGACUGGGGGCUCGUGAAUCGCGACUCGUGACUGGGGACUGGUGUCUGGGGGCUCGUGAAUCGCGACUCGUGACUGGGGACUGGUGUCUGGGGGCUCGUGAAUCGCGACUCGUGACUGGGGACUGGUGUCUGGGGGCUCGUGAAUCGCGACUCGUGACUGGUGACUGGGGACUGNNNNNNNNNNNNNNNNNNNNNNNNNNNNNNNNNNNNNNNNNNNNNNNNNNNNNNNNNNNNNNNNNNNNNNNNNNNNNNNNNNNNNNNNNNNNNNNNNNNNNNNNNNNNNNNNNNNNNNNNNNNNNNNNNNNNNNNNNNNNNNNNNNNNNNNNNNNNNNNNNNNNNNNNNNNNNNNNNNNNNNNNNNNNNNNNNNNNNNNNNNNNNNNNNNNNNNNNNNNNNNNNNNNNNNNNNNNNNNNNNNNNNNNNNNNNNNNNNNNNNNNNNNNNNNNNNNNNNNNNNNNNNNNNNNNNNNNNNNNNNNNNNNNNNNNNNNNNNNNNNNNNNNNNNNNNNNNNNNNNNNNNNNNNNNNNNNNNNNNNNNNGUGAGUCGCGACUCGGGACUGGUGACUGGGGGCUCGUGAGUCGCGACUCGUGACUGGGGACUGGUGACUGGGUGCAGGCCAGCCAGCCAGCCUGCUUGCCUGGUGACUAGGGACUUGUGAUUGGGUGCUGGCCAGCCAUCCAACCAGCAGACCUGCUCGCCUGGUGACUAGGGACUUGUGACUGGGUGCUGGCCAGCCAGCCAGCCUGGUUGCCUACGAGCCUUCCCUAGUCACGGACUGUCGCCAACAGAGAAUAAGUCGGCAUAAAAAAAUAAAAUAUUUAUAUAUUUAAUAAAAUCUACAUAUAUAUAAUAAUUGAAGUAUCUAAAAUACACAUGUCUCUAAAACUGGAACAUUAAUAGUGUCAUAGUCAUUUGUUGAAUUUAAAUUGAAUCAACAUUAAUAUGUCAAUUUAAAUCGAACACCAAAACAAAACAAAAAAUGAAAUUAUGUUGUAUAUAAACAACGAACAAUGAAGAUAAAAUGCAAAAAAAUAACAUAAUGUACUUGAAAAACACAUAUUUAAACAAAAAGGAGUAACAAAAAUUGAGUUAUAUGAACAAUUUCAAGUAAAAGAAUAGUUUUAAAUUAUCCCAUAUUGUUAUUAAUUUUUUUUUAUAAAGAAAUCAGAAAAAAGACAAUAAUUUUCUUAUGAGAAUGGUAUGUUUUUUUAGUCAAUUGAAAUUAUAUAGAUAUUAGUUGAUCAAUUUGAUUCCUUUUAAGCAUUCUUUCGAUUAGAUAGAUAAGUCUAAAGCGAAUUUAUUAUCAGAGUAAUAAUUUAUAUGAAGAAAAAAAAUAGAUUUAAAAUGGUCAAUCGACUCCUUUAAAAAAAUGUUCAAUCAGUUUUUAAAAUUUUAAUUUUAAUUUUACAAAUGCAGUAAAAAAAAAGUCAUUCUCAUUUGUUCUUUAUUAUUUAUUUAUUUUUCCUGAAAUUUUACUUUGAUUCAAAGAGAAAAGUUUAGAAUUUACAACCUCCAAUUCCAUAUAUUGAAACUCUUCAUGCAAAAAAAUCAAUUUCUCCAUUUCUUUUUUACUUUUAACUAAAGAUUUUUGUCAAAAAAUAAGACUUUAACUUUAUAAUUUGGUAUGGUGCAAUUCUUAAAUAGUUGUUAGUAUCAUUCAUUAAUAAUGACAUCCUCCUCCCCAAUACUUAUUCAAUAGAAGAAAACAGAUUUUUCCAUUUCUCAAUGUUGCAGUAGUAGUAUUCUAAAGGCAUUGCAAAGACUUUAGUCCAAGCCAUAAUAUGGGCCAUCCAUCAAUACAAAAGCACUUUGAUUCUGCGGGCUUUCCGCCUGGGCCACUUAGUUUUAUUGGAAGCAUCUUUGAUAAAAAAAAAAAAAGUUGGCUUUUGCACCCCUCAAUUAAUUUUAUACCUCUUUAAAUUGUUAAAAAUCUAAAAUUGUCCUUAAAAAAUUUUAUUUACUGAACAGUAAAAAAAAAAUACUUCAAAAUGAAUAAAAAGAGCACUGUUAUUCAUUAAAAAAAAAAAGGGAUGAAAGCCAUUAUAUUAUACUCUCUUACAUCUUUUACAUGUGUUUUAUCAUAAAAGUAAAAUUUUGAGCUGACUCCACUAAAAAACGAUGGACCUAUGUAGACCAUAUAUAAUUUCACUAAAUAUUAAAAAAAAAAUUAAAAGAAUAUUUUUUUUGGUAUUUAUUUACCUUUUUUGGCAACUUAUUUAUUUGUAUUUUUAAAAUUAAGUAUACUAUAAACACAACUAUAAAAAUUAAUUUACCAAUUCGAAAAAAAACUAUAAUAAACAAUAAAAACGCUGUAAUAUUUUUAAGGUUGAAUUCAAAUUUAUAAUUGUUGAUUAAAUUAAAAAAUACUUAAAAAAUCUAUUGUUUUUAUCAAAGAGAGUUAGCGGAAAGAAUUAAUCUCCCACGACGAGAUAAACUCAAAUUUAAAUUUUUGUUAAAAGAAGUAAAUACAUUUAUAUAUUAUUCAUUUUAAAUAAAAUUAUCUCAGAACAAAUAUAUGAAGAAAAAAAAUCAUUGUGUUUAAUAAUUGUGUAAUACUAGUAAUAAUCAUCAUACUUUCAGGUACCCCUAAUUUGUUUUCUUCCUGGAGCAUGAUCAAUGAAUAACGUAUGGGGCGUGUGGAGUACUCUCUGCCUCAGCGCUGCUCCAUUCACAUCUCAACAUUGUUCAAUUUUCAUCCUAAAAAUGACUCUAAACUUUGUUUGUAUUAAAAAAAAUUCUUAAUUUAAUCAACUUCAAUAUAUAAUAAUAUACGCACUAUUUUUUUACAGUACAAUAGAAGCUCUAACGAAUAAUGCAAUUUUUUGCAUGUGAUAUAUUUAGCAUUUAUCGUUACCUUAAAAUUUUCAUGAACUUAUAGACAAAAAUUCCCGAUGGAGAGAUAUUGAAUAAGCAGAGCAAAUCACGAGGAUUCAAAAUUAUAAUAAAAUUAUAAAAGCAGAGACUCUUACAUAAAAUCAUAACAAAUUUUACAUUAUUUAGCUCUGCACACAGUUAAUUAUUUAGCAUUAUUGAGGCACAUUACAUAAACUCAAAUUGCAAACACACUAAUACUAUAUAUUACAAAUCACAUGCUGGAAGAACCAUGAGAUUCCAAUUUAGGGACCCAAAUGAGAUUAUCCGCUGGAAAAAAGUGGCACACAGAAGAGCUUCCUGGUGUAACACCAAGCACUUGAAAUGAAACAUGAUUAGGUGCCCAUUGAGAUGUAUCCAAAUGACAAACUGUAAGUCAUGAGCUUCUCUGAUCUUAUUUUUGAUUUAAUUGUCAAACACACAAGUACAUAUGAAAUACUUGAUUGAUCUAAUAUUUUGAUUUGAGAAAUAUUUCAGGCAAACAAGAAGAUACCAUACACUUGGAACAAUAGAUUGCAACUCAAGGAAUCAACCAAAGUUGGAGGAUGCACUUGAGAAAGAAGCAACAAUGUAUAGUGUUAUUAGGUGUCUUAGUAAUAAGUUUAGUAGACUAAUCACUAUGGUCUCACACUUAAGCCUUUGCCAAUGAAUUUAAAUCAAUCAACAAAUAAGUCAAUUGAUGUAUCGAUUGAUAAAUUGAUUGUCUAACUCAGAACAAGUUUUUAACUACAUCAAUCGAUUGAUUAAAAUGGUUUGGUAAAACCUGAGUUCUGAGAUAGCAUCAAUCGAUUGGACAAUUGAUUGGGCAAUCCAUUGAGCAAUCGAGUUUGCAAGAAACAGGAACAACCAGUUAUGGAAUCAAUCGAUUGCCAAAUCGAUUGUGACCAAGUUUCGAAAUCAGAGAUAAAUCCUGUAAUGCAAUAAAUCGAUUGGAACAUCAAUUGAUUUAGUUUUUCUUACACUUCAAGUUUGAAGCAAUCGAUUAGGCAAUCAAUUGCAGUUAAUCAUUUAUCAGAACUAUGUUGGACAAAUCGAUUGGCAAAUAGACUUUGACAAAAUGACUGAGGUACUGUAACAAGCACAAUUGAUUGACAAAUCGAUUGACGUUUAUGUCUGAGCCACUUUGAUCAGUUCAAUCGAUUGGCAAAUCGAUUGAUGCAAAAGUCUGAUUCACAGUGAUCAGCACAAUCGAUUGACGAAUCGAUUGAUGCAAUUUCUGAGUUACAGAAAGGACCCAGUUCAAGCCAAAUCGAUUAUGACUGUGAUUAUGACAUCGACGGAGCAAUCGAUUGUUUUGAUCUCGUUGUUGGAACAAAACACUCACAUUCGAUUACUCAAUCGAUUCUAACAAAGUCACAUUAUCAGUUCUGAUAUAAGGAUUAAACGAAUCGAUUGACCAAUCGAUUCAUGCUUAUACAAUUCAAGAUUCAAGAAAACAAGACCCGCGAAAAUCGAUUAGGCAAUCGAUUCAUGCAUUAUGAAAUCGAUUAGGAAAUCGAUUGUCCUGGUGUUUUCUUUGAAUAUAUAUAAGCUGAUUCAAACGUUUUUGCAUAUAACUUUUGAAUAACUUUGCACAAAACUUUAGCAUACUUUCAUAAUCUUUGACAAUCACUUGAUAAACACUUUUGACAGAAAAGUUUUUCACACACACACAAAAUCAUUCAUUGCCCAAAUACUUUGGUGUGAGAACUAGAAUAGUGAUUUGAGUCAAAUCUUUGUACUUCUUUAAUUCUUGAAGAACACAACUCUUUGUAAUUGAAGGACUGGAAAAUCCAGUUUAGAAACUGGUGGCGAUCUUCGUUGAUGUAGGAUCAUCAAGAAGGAGCUUCACUUGAUCUUGUGUACAUUUGACGAUUAACUACAAGGAUCAAGGGGUUAAGCAAUAGGAAGGAGAUAUGAGUUAGAUAGAUAGGUUUCAAGGAAACUGGAAAAUCUGUAAAAGUGUCUCAAUUCUUUCUAUUGAAGAAAAAGCUGAAAUCCAAUUGGAUUGUCAGGACUGGAUGUAGGCUGUCAUACUGACAGCUGAACCAGGAUAAACCUUGGUGCAUUCUUCUCUAUCCCUUAUCUCUUUACUUUUCAUAUUUCAUCUUGUAUGCGAUCUAAUCAUUCCGUUGUGCACUUUGUGUAUGAAUCUUGCAUAGUUAAAAUAAGAAUUAAAAUUGAACGUUGGACUUGAUCUUAAUUCUCUUAUUAAUCAAAAGAAGUCAUUAUUUCCAACAAUUGGUAUCAGAGCCUGCCUUUUUUAGAGAAAACUCAUAAAAGAACAUGACUUCUUUAGAUUUUCUAGGAGAAGGGGCAUCUCUAACCAGAUCCCCUGCCUUUAAUGGUACAGCAUACAUGUACUGGAAAGAGAGGAUGCUCAUCUUUCUAGAAGCAUGCGGACUGGACAUUUUAGAGGCAGUGGAGAAUGGUCCCUACGUGCCUAAGAUUGCAGGCACUGAGGGAUCAUCCAUCAUCAUCAAACCAAGGGCUGAUUGGUCUGAUGAUGACAAAAAGAAAGUUGGUUACAAUGCUAAGUAGACCUGUCAAAAAAGCCCAUAAUCACAAGGCCCCCUUCAUUAAAUUUUUUUUUAGGCCCCAAAAUUUGAGCCCCCCUUAAUGAAAUUUUUUUUGUGGCCCCAGCCCCCUUUUUCUAAGUUUUUGUGGACCUGCGCCAAAGGGCCUUAUGGCCCCCUUUUCAUUUUCAUUUUUUCACGGUUUACACUUUCCACCCCAAAAAUCAGAAAUCAGAAGAAACCCUAAAUCCACGCCUUCAAUUUCCUCCUCCGUUCGUUUGGUUCCGACCACCGUCACGGUGGAUUCUCAUUCUCUUCACCAUUGAUUUGUGUUCAGGCCACCGUCACUGUUGAUUUUCUGAAGUCACCCAUCGAGGUUUGUGGUUACCUUGCUUAAUCGCACGCAUUGAUGUUUCACAUAUACCUCUUUGCCUCGUUGACAAACUACAUAAUUUCAUCAUUAUUGCUUCAUUCUUUUCAGUAUUUACUUUGAAUUUCCGCGUUAAACAGUGAUUACCAAAAAUGUGUGCUUAAGCUGUGUUCUGUUCCUUCAGUAUUCUUUUCAGUAUUUACUUUGAAUUUUGAAUCAUUGUUGUUUUUUGUUACCCUCUUGCUUAAGUUGUGUUCUGUUUGAAUUUUAGCUUUUAUAUUAUAUUUGUGAUUUAGCAUGUAAAAUUAAUUACCAUUUAAUAUUGAUUGCAGGUUUGGAAAAGAAAGUUUGCACAAUAUCUGGCUGAUUCUGGUGUUCCAUAUACGAUUAUAAGGUAAGUCAGUUUAUGUCCAUACUUACACAUAUAUAGAAAAUUAGAAAAUUACACACUAAUCAUCCAUUGCUAGUUUGUUGAUAUAUAGAAAAUUAUCUGGCUAAUUCUAGUGUUCCAUUAUUUUCAUAUAUGAUCUGGCUGAUUCUAGUUUGUUGAUAUAUUCUAUAAUGUUUAAUGAAUUGUUGUUUGUUAUUAAGAACAAAUAGGAUGUUGAGGGCUGUAAAAACUUAAAAAAUUAAAGUUGUAACCCUUUGUGAGCUAGAAUCCACAAGAAAUGAAUUAAAAAUUGCAGAGAAAAAGCAUGAUUAAGUAUUAAAUACCAUAUCCAAAAUUGCAGAGAAAAAUCAAAUUUUGAGAAAUAUGAAAAAAAACCAUAUCCAAAAUCUGCAAGAGGCUCAAAAGCUUGGUUAAUCAUCAUUGUUUAGCCAUGUAUCAUUUAAUUACAUUUUUUUUAACUAUAUAUAAGAAUCUACAUGGUAAAAAAUUAUUGAUCCCUGCUAUUUUUGUAGUAAUGAAUUAUCCAUAGUCUGAUCCCUGCUAUUUGAGAAGCUGUUUCCAUCGAAAGCUUAAAAUUUACGUACAUGUCUUCAUAGUUCAUAGUAAACCGCGGCUGCAACAGGUACUUGCAAGCAUAUAAUGACAUGAAAUAAGUUAACAGAAAAACUUGGAGAUUCAUCUUCAUCUUCAUAAACAUAUUCAAUUAUUAAAGAUGUUACAAUCAUAAUUUCAAAGUAUAGAGUGCUAAAUAUAAUCAACUUCAAGUGUGUUUACACACAGAGUCAACAUAGUAAACUGCCUUAUAAGUUAUAAUAUGAGAAUAAGAUUAAUUGCUUAAGAUCAUGGUAGAGAAAAUUUACCUUUUAACCGUUUAAGCUCGGCUUUAUUUUUGGCAUCCAGAUCCCUCUGAAUUCGGAAAUCACUUGCUAAAGACUUGUGCUUUAAGUGAAGUUCACUUAAUGCCAUUCUCAAGUUUUUGCUUUCCAAAUCCAGAUCAUUGGACAACUUCUGCCCACAUGAAACUAUAAACAAACAAUGUAACCCAGUAAACUAAGUGAAUCAUAUGUAUUAGUUUGAUAUAAGAAACUUAUUAUGAUCAAUAAAACUGUCCAUUUUCAUCAACAAUUAUAACAGGGCAGUUGUUUUAAUUAUGAUUAAACCAAAAUCAAACCAACUGAUUAUGACUAUGCAGCAGAAUAAACAUUGAUUUGCUUCUAUAGUCAAACAGAAAAUCAAAUUGACUUGUCCUCUGUUUAUGGCAUAAUUCUUCAACGUUGGUCUUGUGUUUUACGUUAUAUUAUGGGACUGAUUUGUGUUUGAUUUGUGUUUAGAUGCAUUUAUUCAAAUUGAUCAUCUAUGAGAUUGUUUAAUUGUAUGUUAUUUGUUUAAAUGCGUAGGAACUUCCUUUUAGAUUAUAGUAUGGAGUCUAUGGAUAUAAAUGUGAAUGUAGAAGAUGAAGCUCCUUUU
rnacentral:lncRNA from 1 species